CCUACGGGCGGCUGCAGUGGGGAAUAUUGCACAAUGGAGGAAACUCUGAUGCAGCGACGCCGCGUGAACGAUGAAGGCCUUCGGGUCGUAAAGUUCUGUCCUAGGGGACGAUAAUGACGGUACCCUAGGAGGAAGCCCCGGCUAACUACGUGCCAGCAGCCGCGGUAAUACGUAGGGGGCGAGCGUUGUCCGGAAUUAUUGGGCGUAAAGGGUUCGUAGGCGGUAAUUUAAGUCAGAUGUGAAAGGCGCAGGCUCAACCUGUGUAAGCAUUUGAAACUGGAUUACUUGAGUUAAGGAGAGGAAAGUGGAAUUCCUAGUGUAGCGGUGAAAUGCGUAGAUAUUAGGAGGAAUACCAGUGGCGAAGGCGACUUUCUGGACUUAUACUGACGCUGAGGAACGAAAGCGUGGGGAGCAAACAGGAUUAGAUACCCCAGUAGUC
rnacentral:rRNA from 1 species